rnacentral:sRNA from 1 species
AUCUGCCAUAGGUGAUGAAGGGAAGACCCCUGAUGUUGCAGGGCCCCACACCCAGGCCAGGACUGCACCAUGAUCCCAGGAGGCAUCACAUCAUGGCUCAUCAGGCCACCAGUAUUACACUACCUUGCUCUUUAGAGUUCUCUGCUGGAUGUCUCAAAUCCAAUCAGCGUGUGACUGGUUGCACUUACACACUCCUGCCACUAUUGCAAAGGUAGACAUUGCAAUCACUACAGAUGAGAAGAUGGGACCACAGGUAUACGAUUCAGGCACCUGAGAAAUGAUGAAUGGAUUGACUUCCAGACUCUUAAAAAGGAUAUUCAAUAAUUAAAAUUAAGAAGGACACCCAGCGUCAAAGUGCCACUGUCGGAGAAACUUUCAAUUAUCUCUAAUGUGCACAGACAGCUUUUCAAUGGUCAUGGUUGCUAUAGCAGGAAUCACGAUGGAUGAUAUCCGUAGCAGCUGUAACCUGAAGGAGAAGUAGGCAUAUGAAUGACCUGAGCGUGUUGGUAAACGUUUUUCUCAUUA